GGAUUAGGCAUGCAAGUCGAACGAGGGAGCGCCCCGAAAGGGGUGCAAACCGAGUGGCGUAAGGGUGAGUAAUGCAUUGAUAACCUACCUUUGAGAUGAGGAUAACAACGUUUCAAGUAAUUGAAACUACCGAAAGGGUUGCUAAUACUCAAUAAAACUGUUGUUGCUUUGGUAGCGAUAGUCAAAUAGGUGGAGUCGAAAGGCUUCAUUUGCUCAGAGAGGGGUUAAUGUCCUAUCAGCUAGUUGGUAGGGUAAUGGCCUACCAAGGCAAAGACGGGUAGCCGGCCUGAGAGGGUGGUCGGCCACACUGGGACUGAGACACUGCCCAGACUCCUACGGGAGGCUGCAGUCGAGAAUCUUUCGCAAUGCCCGAAAGGGUGACGAAGCGACGCCGCGUGCGGGAAGAAGGCCUUCGGGUUGUAAACCGCUGUCGGGAGUUAAGAAAUGUAAGGAUGUUAAUAGCAUCUUUGCUUGACUAAGGCUCCGGAGGAAGCCACGGCUAACUCUGUGCCAGCAGCCGCGGUAAUACAGAGGCGGCAAGCGUUGUUCGGAAUUAUUGGGCGUAAAGAGCACGUAGGCGGCUAUGUAAGUCGGUUGUGAAAGCCUUCCGCUCAACGGGAGAACAGCAUCCGAUACUGCAUGGCUUGAGUGCGGGAGGGGAGAGUGGAACUUCUGGUGGAGCGGUGAAAUGCGUAGAUAUCAGAAGGAACGCCGGCGGCGAAAGCGGCUCUCUGGCCCAUAACUGACGCUGAGUGUGCGAAAGCUAGGGGAGCAAACGGGAUUAGAUACCCCGGUAGUCCUAGCCGUAAACGAUGGGCACUAAGUAGAGGGG
rnacentral:rRNA from 1 species